GGCGGGGUCCCAGGACACGCUCUAGGGUCCGUCCUGUGCUCCCUCUGGCGGCAGCGAAGGGUGUUGCAAGGGCGCCAGGCCUAGCUGUACGGGAGGGGGAUCCCACUGAAGUUUCUCUUUUUAAGAGGGACCUAUUAGUCUGGCCUUAAACUCCUAAACCUCCUGUCUCCACCUUCUAAGUGAUGCGAUUCCAGACCUGAGCCACCACACUCAACUUUUUCUUUCUCACCCCUGCUCCCAGAAGGUGAUCGGAAACGGACCCCAGGAGUGUUAAGCCAGUGCUUGAAUCAUCUUUUAGUUUACCCCGCUCAUUCACGCACUUUUCCAUCCACUUAUUUCCAUUUAUUCACUUGUUCCUGUUGCGAUCAUAAAAAGAGAUAAAGCUGUACAAGAACAUGUUCUGGGGGGUGUGAGGAAGGGGAUGUCUCGGCGGGCCCAUGCCAAGGCAUCCCUUCCCCCUGAGAGACCAGCCACACUGACGGUAUACCAUGGAAUAGAGUUUAUUCAGGGCAUGGGGAAGAGAGUUAAGAGGCAGAGAAAGGCAGAGAGAAGGAGAGAGUAGAGAAGUAGAGGCCGGCCAUGGCCACGUGGAGAGAGGGGGUAAAGGAAUGGGGAGAGAGGGGGAACAAGGAGGCAAGAGGGAAGAGAGGCAAGAGUAGGAGAGAAAGAAAGGGAGGAGGGGCCAAGCAGCCCCUUUUAUAAUGGGCCAGGUCUACCUGGCUGUUGCCAGGUAACUAUGGGGAGGAGCAUACCUGGCUGCUGCCAGGUAACUGUGGGGGUGGAGUCCAGACAGAAUACCAACACUCCCAGUACACAUUGUUUACUGAGUGUGUCAACAGCAUGUGACUUGGGUGCUUAGGAGGCGGAGGCGGGAGAUUCAGGAAUUCAAGCCUUCUUAUUCACAGGGAUUAGAGGCCUGAGGUCACCUCAGUGGGUACUGAGGAUAAUUCCAUUCCAAAGCAAGAGUCAUGGCAAGCAUCAAACGUCUACUGGCUGUCGCUGCCUGGUGAUUUCUAACAGUGCCUGGAUCUGUUCACGCUUGUACCUUCUCGCAUUUAUAGCAGGACCUGACUCAAAAUGUGUGUGGAGUAAGUACGUGCUUCAAUGAAUGAAUGAGUGAAUGAAUGAAUGGUGUUUUCUCCCCAACCAGGAUCUCCAGCCACUUGGGGUUGUUUAUAAGCACAGAGUAGGAGCUGGAGGGAAGCCGGAAGGGUGGGGAUCAGCGUUCUGGGCAAGAUAAAGAAAAUAGCAGGCAUAAAACUACCUUAGUUGCUUAAGGCAAACACUGUAUUGAUAACUCAUGUUUUUUCUGCAGCACACUGGUGACAGUGGCCUUGGCUUCCACAAUACCCAGGUAUUUAAUCCUAAGAUUAUCUAUGGGCUGGCUGUGGUAUCGCAAGCCUUUAAGCCCUGGAGGCAGAGGCAGGUAGAUCCCUGUUAAGUCUGAGGACAGCCUGAUCUACAUAUAGAGUUCUAGGAGAGCCAGGGUUACACUGAGAGACCCAGUCACAAAACAAGGAGUACCUCUUGCAGAGGACUGGGGUUUGGUUCCUAGCAUCUGCACGGUGGCUCACAACUGGAGUUACAACUCUAGUUACAGGGAAUUUACUGCCUCUUCUGGUCUCUGUGGGCACCAGGCACACACAUAUGUGGUAGUCAGAUGGACAUUUAAGCAAAACACUCAUACACAUAAAAUAAUCUGAAGAGAGAGAGAGACCUGUCGACUGCUCCUCAUGCAGUUUUUGUUCCUCAUCUCUUAAGCCUUCAGUUACCGAGGCUUGCUUCUCAUGGCCCUUUCUCCACGGCCAGUUCCAACACUCUUGAUUUACUCCAUUCCAGCCCCAAAUCCACCCUCCAGAGUUUAGGUUUAGUGUUUGUUUUGUUUUGUAAUGUCUUUUUUCUGUUGCUUAGCAGGGUCUCAUGAAUCCCGGACUGGUCUGAGUUUGCUAUGCUGACUAUAAAUUUGAACUCUUGCUUUGGGUCCUCUGGCUUUCAGCUCCUGAGUGCUGGGAUUACAGGCAUCUGCCAAGAAGGUUGGCUUUGUGAUGCCAAGGUUGGUUUGUGUGAUGCUGAGAAUCAAACUCAGGGCUUCCUGCCUGCUAGGUGAGUGCUCUAGCAAGUGAAUUACACCCCACACCUGGUGGUUUUCUUUUUGCUUUUUGUUCUUCAGGGUAGGGGUUGGUGCUUGUUACUGGGGUUGGCUAUGAGCUAUCCCAGUUCUGUUUCCACAUCCAGAGUGCUGGGAGUACAGGCUUGCGCAACCAGGCCUACUUUGUUUACCGUAAUAAGGACGUUAUUUUCUUUUUCUUUUCUUUUUUAAAAAAAG
rnacentral:lncRNA from 1 species